AUAAUAAUUAGUUUUUUAAUUGGAAACUAGAAUGAAUGAUUGAAUGAGAUAUAAGCUUUUUUUUUUAAAAUUUUAUAAAAUUUAAAUUUUUGGUUAAAAAGCUAAAAUUUAAUAAAAAGACGAGAAGACCCUAUAGAUUUUUAUUUAAUAAAAAAUUAUUUUUAAUUUUGAUUAAAUUUUAUUGGGGGGAUAAAAAAAUUUAUAAAACUUUUUAAUUUAAUUAACAUUAAUUUUUGAAAUUUAAAUUUAUAAACUAUAGGAUUUAUUAUAAAUAAAGAUUAAAAUACCUUAGGGAUAACAGCGUAAUUUUAAUUUUAAGAUCUUAUUUAAAUUAAAGAUUGC
rnacentral:rRNA from 1 species